rnacentral:sRNA from 1 species
AAUACAGCCGAAUUCCCGUCACCGGGGAAACGGGGGAACCACUUUGGGUGAAUUGAUCUCGCUUCAGAGGGAUCAUAGGGAACCUUCAAACCGAAUCCUUAAGCUAACCUCGUAGGCAUUGGAAGGAGAA